rnacentral:lncRNA from 1 species
UUCUCACUUCCGGAAAUAAGUUCUCAUGUUCAGGUUGAUGAAGGUUUGAAUCCAAGUCAUCCAAGCUAAUCGAUGAGUUUCCAACUGCCUCACUCCACGUCUGUUUUCAAAACAAGGAAGAUUAGUAUGGAACAUGCUUCACAAACUAUGCCCAUGAACAGAACAUUUUUUCAUUCUCACUUCCGGAAAUGAGUUAUUGUGUUCAGGUUGAUGAAGGCCUGAAUCCAAGUCCAUCGAGCUAAUGGCUCCACCAUUUAAUUGCUGGGCUGAAAAAUCAGACUCUUCAUUUCCUUGGUGCUUUAAGUGACAGACGAGGUAGUUCUUGGUCGGCUGUCAAACAAUCAUGUUGUUGGAAUCCAUAAGUCCUAAUCUUAUACUACUUAAAUUCCAGAACCCUACUCCAUUACAAACUUCGACAAUGGAAAAUGAGGAAGAACAGAAUGAUUGCUUUUGGCUAAUUGAAACUUUUGAAUUGGAUGGUUCUGCAGAUUAUUACAAUACUCAAAUGAAUGUAGUAAACCAGAAGAAAUAAACGAGGGACAGAUUGCAUACAGCACGUGGAAACAGUUCAUUGAGAUUGUUGGUCAGUAGAUGAUACUCGUGGAUGACCCAUUUUGUCCCGAUGCCCCUUUUGCCGUGACCCCUAUGAAAGACCAGUGUUUUCUUAGUACCAAUCUCUCUGUUCCUGUCUCCAGCCUUGAUAGUCCUAUCAAUACCAGUCUUCUUCCAAAAUCCCAACGGAGUCGAUCUUUGAAUUCGUGGCGUUUGUGGACAGAAGAACCACCACUCUUGAACUUUGUCAUCAGGAGGAACGAUUGAUUUCUCUGUCAAGUACAAUUUGAAUCUAAUUAAUGAUGAACUUAUCCCUUUCUUUUCCUACGGCCGAAACAUGCAUAUCUUAUACAGUGAACUGUACACAGUCAAACUUCGAUUCCAUCAGCAAAUUCCGCAAAAUAUUCACUGAUUCAUAGACUAUUUUACCGCAAUCGUCACAGAACUCUAGGACAACAUGAUGCCACGUUUAUAAGUACUAGAUAUCCAUUACGAUGCCAUAACUGGCCAAAAACGGACAGGAAAAAAUGAUAGCAGCGUCUCGUUCUUUACCCUCAAAUAUUUUUGGUAAUUCCCAAGGCUCCCACUUGCAGAUAUCGACCUCGGGAAUGAUGCAGAUGUUGCCUCUGGAUCCGAGCACUUUCAGCUUCAAGUAAUGAUCGACCAAUUCCUCAUCGGUCGGGUGGAACCUGUAGCCGAUCGGCAGAUUCUUUGGGAUGAUCACAGUUGCCAUCUUCUUCUACUUCUGUUACUUCCCUCGCGCGAGGGCGAAUUUACCAAAGUUCUGGGAAAACAGAAUGAACGAGCUUCAAGGCCUCGCGCUUUAAGUCUUCAUCAAAGUCUUUCCCUUCUCUGAGAAGUUGCCUUACGUCAUUUUUUUUUCUGCAUUUUUGGGUUUGCCGGUGGAAUUCCACCCUAUCGCUUAAGGACUAUUCAAAGAUUCUCCUAUCGCUCUCAAAUGUCACGCUAUCCACUAACACUCUGUCCUAACUUUCUGCAUCACGUAGAAAGCCUUUGUCAUUUAUUUUCUCUUUAUUGACAAAAGUAUAAACAAUGUAAUUAUAAUACCUUGACCAAGUCAAGAGUGGUCCCAGAGAAAAAAGAAAGAAAGGAUAAGAAAAGAAAUAGCUUGAAAAGUCUUAAAAAAAGGGAAAAAUUGGUGCGUUGAGGUGUCAUUUUAAAGAAAAAUAACGAUAUUUUCUGGUGUUGGCUCAAAUGGGUUGGAAAUUCUUUCUCACCCUUCGGUACGGAAAUGGCUUUUUGCCUAAUGGAUUUUGCUUCCAAAUGACUUGCUAGGCUGAUGGUGGUUCUUGAGAUCUAGUUUACUUACUUUUCCUGGUCCAGUUCACAAUUUCCCAUUCCUCUUCUUCUCCUCCUCUGCUUCCCUCUUUUCUUCUUCCUUCCUGUUUAUGUUGCGGCACUGUGAAGUCCAACGCCUCAAAUCCAGUCGCAACCCAACAACGGUGGUCACGGGAUUAGCUUAGAAGUCGAUCUUGAUCUCUAAGGUGAUUUCGACGUAUUAGCCUUAUAAGUGUAGAUCUUUGAUAUUAGGUACGUCUGAAGAGGAAUAAAGCAUUUCACGUUGAUAGUUGGUUCAUACCUCCUUUGAAUUAGGGCUCCGACUAUAGCCCCCGUCGCGGAUAUAUCCACAAGAUGAGAUAUCGAAUGCUUGCUACUCAUCCCAAUAUUGACUAGCUAUAGCCAUAAGUAGCUGACCAUGAGUAGUAGUAUGCUUGAUGGGCGUGUGCUGAUCAUAGACCACGGGCUCCUACAUGGGCCACACUUCAGUUGUUGACAUUCAUCUAAUUUGGUAGGUGACAUGCGUCGACAAGAAUUUCAUGUCGCGUGCAUCAUAUUUGCCAAUUCUCUUCCUUCAACAUGUCUUGACCUGACAAAAAUUUCACUUUUGCUCAUUGUUAUUUACUUAGCUUCGGCUUGGUUUGUUAAAAAUUAGUGCUUUUGAAAAACAUUUUCAGAGAACUCAUUUUUUAUAAAAAUAACAAUAUUUAUAGUGUUCGCAUGAAAUUGAGUUGGAAAUCAUUUCUCACCCUUUUUCAUGGAAAAUGGCUUUUUGCUUAUGGAUUUUCAUUCCAAAUGACUCUCACUAGACUGAUGGUGGGUUUUGAGAUUUGUCACACCCCAAAACCAACAAGGGGUAUGACAACAUGAGAAACUUUUAAUCCAACUAUUUAAUAUACAUAUAUAAUCAUAUAUGUGUUAUUUCAUUUCAACAAAUUUUAUUCAAUUUUGACAAUGCUCAUUUAAAUCAUCCUCACAAUUCAAGCAUCAAUGAUCAAAUUUAUUGAUUAAUCUCUAAUCAAAAACCAUAUAAAUGGUCUAUUCAUAAUCCAUCUUAUAUCAAAAUAUACGCCGAUGGUCUAUCCAUUAAAUAAUCUUUUACUUAAUAGCAAACCAUGAUCACGACAGUGACAACACAACACCUACUGACAAGGCAAUCAAGAUUCUUUCCUUGGUAAGGUCUCCACUUACAAAUUCAAUGGCUUGACCCAAAAAGAUAUCUUAAACCUGGUAUGCAUACCCACAAGCCUAUCAAUGGACCAACAUCGAUAUUGAACACCAAACCUACAUCCUCCAAUAUCUAGAAAUACAAUCCAUAAAUUAAUCUCAUAAUCCACAUUACAUUUCACAAACCAAUCAUAUAACCUUUGUAAUUCAAUUCAUCUGAAAUUAAUAGUUUUUUUGUAAAGCAUUUACAUAUUAUUUCAUAAACCGAAUUCACAAAUUGAUAUGUACAACCUUUUGUAAUGUUUUUUCAUAAAAUGCUUCUUCAAUUAUCUUAUAACUCAUUCCAUAAAACAAUUCGCAAAGCUAUACAUAUAUAUUAUUUCACAAUACCUUUCAUAAAACCACUCUCGAAUCAUUCUCAAAUAUUAAAAGGUGGUAAUUGUCUAAUCUAGACUUUUAAACAAUAAACAUGCUUGAUUACUCGUAAGAUACUUAAAUAUUUAUCUCUUUCAAGACAUGAGUUUACAAAUCCAUAAAAGAGAUAGCAUUACUCAUUUGGAUGUGCCCUUAACCAAAUAACAAGGCACAAUCAAAUUAACGAACUCUCAAUCCUAUCAUAUAAGCAAGAAAUAACAUCAAAACUAAGUGAAACACUAUAUCAAUUAUGGCACGGCUAAACUAAGCCUAAAUGCCAAUAAAAUAACUCUCACGCAUCAACAAAUUGCUUACUUGAAGCAAUUAUUCAAAUCUAAAUGUAAUGUAAAACUUGCUCACAAACUCUAAAAUUUCGUUUCGACAAAACCAUUGCUUCNNNNNNNNNNNNNNNNNNNNNNNNNNNNNNNNNNNNNNNNNNNNNNNNNNNNNNNNNNNNNNNNNNNNNNNNNNNNNNNNNNNNNNNNNNNNNNNNNNNNAAAAAUUGGAUUAUACAAGCUCAAGUUCCCAAAAUUCCGAUUUCAAGCCCUAAACUCAAAACUAUUUGUGACAUCUGAAUUUUUGUCAACGUUUUAAAUAUCCAUUUAUUUGCAAAAAUAUAAAAAUUUAUAUUAAAAAAAAGAGUAAUAAAUGAUAUAAAAAAAUGAUGAAGUCGUGUGGGCCGUUAUGUCCGGCCCACUUAGCGACUUUCAGCCCUCUAAGGGUGCAUUUGAUCAGUAUUCCCAAAGGGCUUUCAGCCUCUAAAGCCCUUUAAGAAAAUGCUGGAUCGUUUGGCAGUCAUUUUGAAAUAACUUUUAAGUGAAAGUCAGUAUUGGAAAAUCUAAAAGCCCAAUGCUAAUAGGAACUAGUUUUGAGUUUUCAAUAUUUUGCCAAAUGCUUAAACUUAUUUUUUUAUUCCAAAAUUAUCUUUACUCAUUCUUCAAAUUUUUUAUUCUGCCAUCAUUAUUAUUUUUAAAAAUACCAAAUAAUGCUAAAAAAAAUCACACACACACACACACACACACACACACACACAAAUUCUAAAACAAUUAAAUAUAUUAGGUCUUCUAAAAAUAUUAUUUAUAUAUUUGAUUUUUUUAGCAUAUGUAUUUGAUUUUUUUUAGUAUUAUUGUCAAAAUUUAUAUUUAAAAAGUUGCAUACAUUAUUUUUUUCAAUUCUAAACAAAUAAAAAUUAAAAAAUUCCAACGAAGAGUUUGCUUUUUAGCAUUAUUCUCAAAUUUAUAUUUAAAAAGUUACAUACAUUAUUUUUUCAAUUUUAAACAAAUAAAAGUUAAAAAAAUUUGAUGAAGGAUUUGAUCUUUUUUUUUUAAUUAUAUAUGUAUUUGAUUUUUUUAGCAUUAUUGUGAAAAUUUAUAUUUAAAAAGUUGCAUGCAUCAUUUUUUUUUUCAAUUUUAAGAAAAUAAAAAUUAAAAAAUUCCGAUGAAGGGUUUGGUCUUUUAAAAAAAAAAUUAUAUAUGUGUUUGAUUUUUUUUAGUAUUAUUGUCAAAAUUUAUAUUUAAAAAGUUGCAUACAUCAUUUUUUUCAAUUUUAAAAAAAUAAAAAUAAAAUAUAUAUAAUAUUAAUUAUCCAUAGAGCUUUUCAAAUGUAUUUUCUACCAAAUAGCAUUUCUCUCAAAGACACUUCUCAAAGCAUAAUUUAUCAAACGACUUUUGUAUUUGCCUAAAGUGCUUUAAGCUAAACUGUUUUGUAUUUUCCUAAUAAGCUUUCAAAAUGUUGAACCAAACGCAUCCCAAGCCUGUUCGCCUCUCUUAUCUUUAUUUCUUUCUUGGAAAAAAGUCUUAAAUGGUCCCUAGAUUUCUACUUCAUGUGUAAUCUCGUCUCUGAGCUUUCAAUUUGCUCAAUUUGCUCAUUGAACUAUCGAUAAAUGUCUGAUCUAGUCUCAACUAUUUGAAAAUUGACAAAUUUCGCCAUUUCGUUAGUUAAAGUUAAUAGAAUUGGACAUUUUUGGUCUUUUUUUUUCUUUUUUUUUUCUUCUUCUCUCUUCCCUCCGCUGACCAUGGCGAAGCCAGCAGAGGGAAGAGAGAAGAAGAAAAAAGAAGAAGAAAAAGACCAAAAUGCCCAAUUCUGUUAACUUUAACUAAUGGAAUGACGAAAUUGGUCAAUUUUUAAAUAGUUUGGAUUAGAUUUGAUAUUUAUUGAUAGUUUAGGGACCAAAUUGAGCAAAUCGAAAACUCAGGGAUGAGAUUACACAUUAAGUAGAAGUCCACCAUUUGUGACAUUUUCCCUUCAUUUAUAUACGUUUAUAAUGAUAUGCCAUUUAUAUUUAAAAAAUGUACAUGAUAUGAUGUGAAUAUAUCUAACUUUAAUACUGUGACUCAUCAAACAAUGAAUAUGAUAUAAAAGAAUCUCAAAAUUUUAUAUCCUAUCCUAUCUAAUCCUAUCUCGAUUAGAAAUCCGGACGACCAAAUAUAGCUUAUGAGAGAAUGUCUUGGGAAUGUGGGGCUAAAGGAAAAGGGUAAGUGGGGUGAGUUGGAUUAAUUGGGUUGGGUUUGAUUUGGUCUCAUGGGUUGGAAUUUGAGUGGACUGCUUUAAUCUUCAUGGGCCAAUUGGGGAUCAAUUCAAAGUGGGCCUUGGUGCAUUUUUUGCCCAGCCCGCAUCGAUAGGGUCCAAGUUGGUUUGGUUGGGUUGGGUCUCCUAGCCCGGUCCGAAUUUCUUUUAUAUUAAUAUUAAAAAUACUAAUAUUAAUAAAUAAAUUAAAUAAAUUUUAAAAUUCGGAAAAACGUUAAAAUAUUUGAAAAAUAAAGAAUUCAUGAAAAUUUAUAAAAUUCCGAAAACUAUUAAACGAAUUUAGAAAAUUUAUAAAAUCAUUAAAAAUCAGAAAAUCCAUAAAAUAACAGAAAAUUAGAAAAAUCAUUAAAAAUUCAGAAAAUCCUAAGGAAAAAAAUCAGAAAUUUUAGAAAAAAAGGAAAAUCCUUUAAAAGUAUUAAAACCCAAAAUUUAGACAAGCCUUUAGAGCUUUACAAUAGGAUUCUUUAUUUUGGAUUAUCCUUUUUUCCGGAUUAUUUUAGGAUGCUUGUGUGUGUGUGUGUGUGUGUGUGUGUGUGUGUGUGUGUGUUUGUGUGUGUGUGUGUGUGUGUGAUUAUACAUGGUUGCCCUUUUCAAUAUCUUGGAUGUCAUAUUCGUUGUUUUAGAAUGGUCAGAACAAAACCUAAAAUUCUUCGAGCGUUAAUCUUAGGACUAAUGUAAUCAAGUUUUAAGUCUAGAAUCUUUAGUUGCACAAAUAAUAAGAUAUUUUCCUAGGGGUCUAGUCGACACCAAAAUUCUAGUGGCCACUUUUUAGUCAAAUUUCUUCAAAGUGAAUAAAAAUUUGAAAAUAUGCAAGGUAUGAACUUGGGAGAUCCUGUGUCAAUGAAAGGCUGUCAAUCCAAAAUUAAUAACACCUCUAAUCUAAAACUCUUUCCCAGAAGUGUAAGGGUGCGGCACUACUUUUAACUAGAUGAACAAGGGGCANNNNNNNNNNNNNNNNNNNNNNNNNNNNNNNNNNNNNNNNNNNNNNNNNNNNNNNNNNNNNNNNNNNNNNNNNNNNNNNNNNNNNNNNNNNNNNNNNNNNNNNNNNNNNNNNNNNNNNNNNNNNNNNNNNNNNNNNNNNNNNNNNNNACUACCCGCGGGCCACUCUAAGGGCGUGCAUGACAAAAUUUAUAUUUUUUCGAUAUCUUUGUUUCUCUGUUCCCCGGAAUAAGUUUGGAACAUAAAUCCGUUUGAUAACGCAAUUUGAUUUCUCUAUUUCUGAAACAGAUUUCUAUUUCAGAAAUAGAGAAAUUGAAGAAAUCAGAAGCUGGAAUGUUUAACUUCUCAGUUUCUGAAAUAGAAAUCAGAAACUAAAAUCAAACCAUAUAAAAAAAUCUUGCACUUUCUUGCUAACUUAAUUCACUCAUAAACACAACUUCACAAAUUAUUGCUAAUUUUCUUUUUCUUAUUUUGCUCGUUUUUUUUUUUGCAUUUUUUUUCAAUUUUUUUUUUUUUAUAACUUCCUCUUUAUAUAUGAAAGGAAAUUGAAUGGGUCCCCAAUUUUCAAAAACGACCAAAGUUCUUAAAUGCUUACUUAAAAACAAUGGGGCUCGUUCCUCCUAGAAAAGGUACGCGCAUGGUUAGUUGAAGAAAAUUUUUUUACGUAAUAGAUGAAUAAAAAACGUGUCUAUAAAUUUAACCUUAUUCUUUUACAAAUUCAAGAUUCUUGCAAAAUCAAAAUAAUUAAAUUGUUACACAAUCUUGAAUUUUAAUUUAAAGGCAAGACAUUCAAGAGAAUCUCUCUCUUUGCUAUGCAAGGGCCAUUAAAGGUUUAUUGAGCAAUAAUAAAGAAAUUAGGGAUGAACAACUGGAUUGAUUCAAUUCGAGAAUCAAAAUAAACCGACCUUCCCCCAAUUGGUUCCUAAUCAUAAACAUUACUUUAAGGUAGAAUUAUCAUAUAUUCCUUUACACCAUUAAUUUUAUUUUAUUGAUAAUCUUGUAUAAUACUAGUUUUUGAUAAAAUGACAAGGCUGUAUAUGCGUCAUUGAUGGCACCCAUAUUCAUGCUUCCGUAGUACCUGUCUGAACCUAUGCAAGAUAGGCUUGCAAAUGAUACAUUGACCGAGGAGGGAAACCAAAUAAAUACGCUUAGAAAAACAAUUGCUAAUAAAAUGGCAAGGGAUAAUAAUAUGCCGGAAAUUCCAUGAAAUUGUAUUUUCAACUUUUGUAAUGUAUUAGUAUUAUUUCGAUUAUUAUUUUGUAUUUGAGGAUUUCCCAUGUUGUUUUAGUAUUAUUUUGACUAUUAUUUUGUAUUUGAGGAUUUUCUAUGUUGUUAUCUAAUCAAUUUCUAUUCCUAGAAAUAGAAAUUUGAGUUGUUAUCAAACGGAUUUCUUUGCUUAGAAACUUGUCCGAGGAAUAGAAAUUAAGAAAUUGAUUUCUGGCUAGAAAUCAAUUUCUGUUUCAAAAAUUUUGUCAUGCGCAGCCCAAGUGAGAGAAUUCUCGCUUUAUGCCAUUUUCCCAUUUUUUUUAACUUUUCAACCCCUUUUUAUUUCUUUUCUUUUUUAAAUAGAAAAAGGUACCUCCUCUUUGACUUGGUCAAAGAAAAUGUCCCGCUAUUACAAGAUCUAGUUUACUUAGGAUGCGCAUGAAAACUAUUAUAUUCCAGAAAUAGUUUUGAAACAAAAAUAGAUUUUUUUAUUUUUAUUUUUAAAAGAGUUUCUAAGCAAAAAUAACUGUUUGAUAACGACACAAAAUUUCUACUCUAAAAAUAGAAAUUCGUUUGAUAACGACAUAAAAUUUAUUCUUUUUGGAUGGUGGCAGACCACCCGCGGUGGCAACUGGCGACCGGCGACAGCGACAAAUUCUCAUUUCUGUUCUAGAAAUAGAAAGUAUAAAAUUUUUACUUUUGAUUUCUACUCAAAAUCUAUUUCUGGAACAAAAAUUUAUUUCAGAAAUAGAAAAAUGAAAUAAUUUUACCAAAUGAAUUUCUAUUCCAAAAUUGUUUCUGGAAUAGAAAAAUUAUUUCUGGAACAUUUUUUUUUUAUCAUACACCCCCUUACUUUUCCUGGUCCAGCUCACGAUUUCCCAUUUUCCUCUUUCUUUGUUCCUCUUCUUCUUCCCUCUUUCUUCUUCCUUCCUGUUUAUUUUGCGGCUCGGUGAAGUCCAGCGCCUCAAAUCCAGUCGCAACCCAACGACGAUGGCCACGGGAUUUGCUUGGAUGGUUGUUUUCCAGCAAUGUCUGAGGCGGUAAAAGGUUCUUGGUGUUGGUUCAUGGCCUUUGGCAUCGCGGUCGGUGGUGGCCAUGGAUUCUUGAUGUGGUUCCAAGUGAUGGUCAUUGUGGCGGCGGCGUGACGGAUGGUGGACUGCAGCAGACGAUGAUGGCAGUCGAAACAAUCCAGGUAGUGCGAAAAAUGGAAAAUCCCACGGUGGCGGCAGCUUGUUUCUUUCAUUUACGGUGGACGCUGGUUGUGGAUGAAGGAGAAGAUGGUGAUGACGGUAUGUGAGUAUGGUGGUUCAAUGAUGAGUGGCAGCCGGCGAUGGUGACGGUGCGGUGGUGGCAUUGUGUGUUUAAUGUUUACAGAGAAGACAGACGGUGGUGAACGAUGGUGUGCUGCCAUGGGAGAAGUGGCAGCGCUUCAGCCUGUUUAGAGAGUUGACAAUCGCGUUAGGUGCAAUUUGAUCUGCACAUGGUGCGCAUAGCUGAGAUGCAGAAUUUAUCCUCAUCCAUAAAUGAAGUUUGAAGAAAGAAAAAUAUGCUUCAACACGUUUCGAUUUGGAAAAGAAAAGAAAAGAAAAUUUAAUGCAAUGACGGAGGUUUGCAGAUUGAGAACACUUUCAGAAGAAGCUUCUCAGUUUGGUUUUUCACUUCCGAACCGGUGAACGCUUUUAGCAAGAGUCUUUAUUCCAUUACAGAUAAGUACAAGGCAUGGCAAUCCAAGUGAAGAUAAGCUACAAGUGAUCCUAUAUACACAAAUUAAUCGAGAGGCUUGUAUCACCAAGGCAUGAAUCUUUUGGUGAUUUUGAAGGCUGAAGAAUUGGCACUAAUCUUUGCGUGGUUGCUUGUUGAUCCAGCCGAUGGAGUAGCUGAAAUUGAUAUCUCUCUGGCUGGUUCAGUCUCCUCCCUGUGCUCAUUGCUUUCUCCUCUGUGACUAUAUUGUAUCACUCUAAAACCUUAAUUGCUUCACUGUUUCACUUUUGGAUAAAACGGGAGAGAGGGAGAGAGCGUUGAGAGAAAAAACACCGUACGUACAAUUUUACCAACGGUUGUUUUUCUCUCUCUCUCCUCCCUUUUAUACCCCCUUCUUUCCACGGGCCGCAUUUCCGUGGGCCGGGCUUUCUGGGCCCAACUUGGGCGAACGGGCCUUAAGCCCAAUACCAAUAAAAGCCUUCAUCUCCCACUCGCACAAGGUGGGCCGAACAGGAUUCUCUUUACCUCUCUUCAACAUUCAUACCGGUGAAUAAUCCGUGCGACCAGCAUACUUUGAGAGCUCGUUGCUAUACAUCUGUUAGGAAUAUAUAGCAGCUCAUAAUGGGCGUCACACUCCGAGUAGAUUUAGUAUGCAGUACCCUAGAUCGAUCAAUCACAUUUAUAUCUCUCUUUUGAUCUCUUUUUAAACAAUGAUAUAUAUAUAUUGUAUUCACAAUUAUAAUUAUCACAAAGACAGUCAUAAUUGGUCGACCAGUGAAUACAAAACCACAAUGUGAUUCUCCAAAAUCGAUCUUCCUCUUUCCUUCAAAACUCUCAAUUUCAGUCCAGCUUGCUUUUCUAGGAAUGCCCCAUUAGAUCGAAUCAUCUCCUGACCAUUGGCAACACCCUAAGAUAGCAAACACUAAAUAGAAAUCUUGAGAAUAAGUAAGAGUCCUGAGGGGACUAAGAAAUUGAGGAACUCUUUUCCUCAAGAGUCUCAUACGACAUAAAAGUUGAGAUCAAACUUUUGCCACUCUUAUUGGUCGUCUCAUGCAUACGUAGUAUGAAAUACGUAUUACGGUAUUAACUCCUUUCCCAUGGAGCGUAUGUCUACACCUUUCAAUACCGUACAGAUGAUAGUUCAGACAUACCCAAUGUCUAACUUGAGUUCACGUAUCUACUCAUUCACUAAAUUCAUCAGAACUCACAUCUGGCAUCAUAGACAGAUAAAGUAAAAUAUGUGGGGUAUUUUACUUUCAGACAUAGUAAGUAUUAUGUCCUCAUCUUAACACCUAGUUAAGGCGACAUACGUGUUUUAAGCUUGAGCUCUCAAUUAUCACCUAGAUAAUAAGCUUAAAAACAGUCUCAUCUCUAUUUAUCACACAGUAAAUAGAGGCGAUUACCCGUGUGAGUGGGCUAAUCUCAUCUGUCCGACAUACUUCUUCUAACUUAAAGUAAUGCACUGAGCAUUAAGAUGCAUAAAGAUCAAACAAAGAUUCAUAGGCAUUAAUGAUAAAAACAUAAAUUCAUCAUAUGUGAACACUUAGGGAAAAAUUAUAAUAUUCAGUACAUCAGUCUCUACGCAAUCCUAGAGAUUUCAUAUGGCCACAAAACACAUCUCUAGGUAUUGACUUUGUCAUAGGAUCUGCUACCAUUCCAUGCGUAGUAUGUACUCUAAGUUCACAUCUUUUCGUGCAAUCAUAUCCAUGACAAAAUUAUACUUGGUAUCUAUAUGUUUGGUCUUGCCAUGAUAUUUGGAUCUUUAGUGUACACUUUUGCUGCUUGAUUAUCAUAGUUAACUAAUAACAAAUCUGCAGCACUUCCAAUAACACCUAAAUGAUCCAAUAAUCUCUUAAGCCAAACAUCUUCUUAUACUGCUGCUGAUAAUACCACGAACUCAAUUCCAUCGUGGACAAAGCUAUAUACUUUUGUUUCUUACUGCUCCAACACAUGGUGCCAUUAUUCGGUAAGAGAACAAACCUAGAGGUAGAUUUCCUUUCAUUUAAAUCUCCUCCCCAAUCAAUAUCAGAAUAGCCUUAGAGUCGCAGAUCCUUUCUAUAAUAACUCAACAUAUAAUCAGCAGUCCACUUUAGAUACCUCAGUAUUCACUUAACGGCUUUCCAACGUGCUUGACCUGGAUUGGAUUAGUAUCUACUCACCAUUCCAACUGCAAAACAUAUGUCAGGUCUUGUACACAUCAUAGCGUACAACAAGCUUCUAACAGCACUAGCAUAAGGAACAUGUUUCAUUUGUUCCUUCUCUUGUGGAGUCCUUGGACACAGUCUAUGGCUCAAUCCUUCACCUUUUGCAAUAGGAGCGUCAAUGGGUUUACAAUCCCAUAUCAUUCAAUUCAAAAUUUGGAAGACAACCAACUUUUGACAGUAUUGACUAGCUCCAUAUUGCUUCCGGCAAUUAGUAUAUCAUCAACAUAUAAUGAUAUGAUCACAAAUUGAUCCUUGGAUCUUUUUGAUAUAUACACAAUGAUCCUCAUCUAUCAUUGUAAAGUCAUAUGCCAUUAUGGCAUUAUGAAAACGUAUAUAUCCUUGUCUUGACGACUGCUUAAGGCCAUAUAUCGACCCCCAAAGUCGACAUACCUUUUCUUCUUGGCCUUUCACUAUGAAACCAACAGGUUGUUCCAUAUAUAUUUCAUCCUCUAAUUCUCCAUUGAGGAAAGCAGUCUUUACAUCCAUUUGAUGUAACUCAAGAUCCAUACUAAACACUAUUGCCAAAACUAUGCGAAUCAAGGCAAAUCUUACUAUAGGAGAAAAAAUAUCUUCAUAAUCAAUUCCUUCCUAUUGAUUAUACCCCUUCGCCGGCGAGCCUUAUGCCUUUCAAUCGAGUCAUCAGCCUUUCGCUUUUCUUUGAGAACUCACUUGUUCCCAAUGGCUUUGCGUCCUUUUGGAAGAUCAACCAGUUCACAGACUUGGUUUGAUUUCAUUGACUCCAUUUUCCUCUUUCAUUGCAUAAAUCCAUUUCUCCUUACUAGGGCAAUUUAGAGCCUCAUUAAUAUUUCUUGGCUCAUCCUCAUCUUGCGGAGCAAUCAUAAAAGUUUCCCCUUCAAUGUCAAAACGUCGACGGGGAAUACUUUGGCGACUUGUUCACCGUAUGGGAGAUUGUACACUUAGCACAUCAUUCCCCAUUAUGCUCCCACUUGGAUUAGGUAAUGAUGAUGUCGUCACAUCAGGUGGUUGUAAUUGAGAAUGAGUUGAAUUCAAUUCAUCACUUCUCAUAUUACUCCCACUUGGAUGAACUCAACCAAUAUCAUUAUCUAGAUCCAAGGUUUCAAAUAGGGAGUGAUCUUCUCCUAUUUCGCCCUUCUUAGGAAAAUUCAUCCACUAAGAAUGUGACAUCCCGUGAUUCAAAUUCAGUUAUUCUCCCACUUUCCUGCUCAUCUAUGAACACAUACACUUUCGAGUGUUCGGAGUAUCUCAUUAAAAUACUCUACUUUUAUCUGGGACUCAAUUUCCCAAACUUGUGAGAGGACAUAUGAGUAUAGGCAGCAUAACCCCAUGGCUUAAAUAAACUUAAGUCCGGUUUUCUACCUAUCCAUAACUCAUAUGGAGUGGAACUAACUGAUUUGGAAGGCACCCGGUUAAGUAUUUAGGCAGCAGUUAACAACGCAUCACUCCAUAAAAGUGAUAUGUAAGUUAGCAUACGCCAUCAUGGACCUAACCAUUUCUAGUAGGGUUCUGUUUCUUCUCUUUGCAACACCAUUUUGUUGAGGAGUAUAUGGAAUAGACAACUGUCUUUCUAUUCCUUUUUCAUCACAUAAUUUUCUGAACUCAUCAGAUAAAUAUUCUUGACCUCGAUCGGAUCUCAAUACUUUUAUUUUCUUGUCUAAUUGAUUUUUUUUAACCAAGUUCAUAAACCUUUUGAAACAACUUAUGCUUCAGAUUUAUGAGAAAUCAAAUAGACACAUCCGAAUCGAGUAUAAUCAUCUAUUAAAAGUGAUGAAGUAAACAGUCCCAUGCCUUCCUCUCACAUUCAUUGAACCACAAACGUCAUAAUGGAUUAAAUGCCGAGGAAAUUCAGCUCUUUUACCUUUUCCAAAUGGUCUCCUUGUCAUUUUCCCUACUAGGCAAUGCUCACAUAUGGACAAAUCAACUUUUUCAAUAUUGCCCAACAAGCCCUUUUUGGCUAGUCUUUUCAUAUGUUGUUGGCCCAUAUGACCAAGUCUAGCAUGCCAUCAUAUUCGCAUCAUUAUCAUAUAAGAUAGAAGACGUGAAACAAGGGGAUAACAUAUUGACAUCAACACAGUCAACAUUUAGUACAAUAAAACCAUCUAGAAAGUGACCACAACCAUAGCAGUUUGUAUCUAAACACAAAUCUACACAUUUAUUAUGGAAGUUCAUUCUAAAACCAAGCUUAACCAACAUCAAAACAGACAUUUAAAUUUCGACGAAUCUCCGAAGCAUAUAGAACAUCGUGUAGGAAUAAGGUGCGUCUACCACGCAUGUUCAAUUGGCCGGUGCCAAUUCCUUUAACUUCAUCUCUGGAGUUAUUUCCUACAUAGAUACACUUAAUUCCAGUUGGUACUCGUCAAAAUUCCACGAAGGAUUUUAUAUCCUUCGCUGCAUAGUCUGUCGCUCCUGAAUCUACAGUCCACAAAGGAUUGGAUUCAGCCAAUAAAGCAGAACUUGACACAUAAGCAAAAUUCUCAGAUGUACAAGAGGUGUUUACAUUCUUUAGCUCACGACAGUCGCGAGCAUAGUGACCUCUCUUGUCACAAUUGUAACACCCUUCCCUUGACAUUUUCUUUACUUGAGGAUGUUUUCCUCUCUUGUGUUGGUUAACUCUCGAUUUCUUGCAACAAGGACUUGAUCCUUUGCAUUCCCACAUAUUGAACGAAUCAAUACGCUUGCGCUUAGAGCUCAAAACCCUUUAUGAGCUAGAACCAGCAUUGCAAAUAUCUAUUCUCAGCUCACAUGCCAUUAAGCGGUCAUCUACCAGCUCAAGGUGGCGCACAGCAUUCUCAAGAUCUUCCAUAACAUGGUCGAGAGCUUCUAGUGCUUUUUGCUUUUCCAGCACAUAUUGAAUCUUCAUAUUCAAUAUUUCACAAUUGUAGCCGUUCAUAUCAGCAAUUAUAUUCUUAGUUGCUGAACUAUCGUUCUGAACACAUCAGACAUACAUGCACGGAUAAUUAAUGCCUAUCAUUUAUGCAUCCCUAUUUACAUAGACCCAUCAUAUUAAUGAAUAAUUUUAAGUAAGGCUUCAGAAUCAAAAGGUCACUACGUUUCCAAUCAUCCUCCAAAAAUCCUAACUUAAAACUAUCAUUAAUAUGAUUGUCAUAUGCAAAAUCAAUUCUAUGAAGUUACAAAAACUUCUAUAACUACCCACAGCUAACUACCCACAGCAAUCAGCAGUAACAGAAAGCAAAUAUAAUCUAACAUUCAAUAUAAUAAUAGUGCUUUCACAUAAUACAACUAUACAUUACACUGAGCAAUAUAUACAAAGAAAAAAUAUCAACUUGGAAAGAGAUAUUUACAUCCAUAAAACGUCUCAUAAUUAAUCUAAGAAAUAAUUAGGGAAUGUCCCUUCUAAUCUAUCAGUCAAAACAUCUGAGAAAACUGAAGGUACAUUUGCCAACCAUGGAAAAACUUUUGGAGAGUGUUCAUGUCGCCACCAAGGCGCAUUCACUCUGCGCCACGUAGAGCACAAUCUAAGGGUUGAAAUUUUGGCCAACUCAAUCCUAUAGUACUCUCUUACAAAAGUUUCCACCAGCCUCCUAUAACCCGGGACCACGUUGACCUCCCAUAGCCGAUCUAAUACUGCUUGCCAUUCAGGUGGAAGAGUGUUCAACAAAGCCGGCACCUUCUCAAAAUCCGGCAUAAGAUAACCAUUAUUGAUGAUUUCCUGUAUCAUCUGAUUGACCUUGACCAUAUGUAAUACUAAAUCACCAUCAAGCCACCGAAAAUCAGCUAACUCUUUCAUCAGCCUUUUCAGUCUAGCUCUUCCUUCGUCCGUUCUCGGGAUUGCAGGUAUCCGUGCAUUACGCAUCAUAGUUUCUGCAACAAAUGCAGAACUAAAAUGGAUCACUUAUAAUCCACAAUAAAUAAAAUGGAAAAUACAUAAAUUUCCAUAAUUCAUGCAACAAAUGCAGAAUUAAAAAAAUGGAUUACUUAUAAUCCACAUAUAGGCAUGAUUGAAAAACAAAACAAAUUCCUUUUUUUUUUUUUUUUUUCCGGGUCAAUGGUCAAAGUCAACUGCCAGUCAACGGUCAACGGACAAGUCAACGGUCAACGGUCGGUCAACGGUCAAUGGGUCAACGGGUCGGGUCAACGGGCGCGCGGGUCGGACCGGUCGCGACGGUCGAACCGGUCGGACCGGACGGGCCGGUCGGACCGCUCGCACGGACCGACCGCACGUGCCUCGCGCGUGCAGGCGAUGACGUCACGCAGACGUCAUCCGGCACGUGCCGGGCGCGUGCCUCGUCCGUGAGUCAGGUCGGGUCACCGGUCGAGUCGGGUCGCCGGCCGGUGACCUCCGGCGAAACGUCGUCGGCGAUGACGUCAUAGGUGACGUCAUCCGAACGGUUACCGACCGUUGGAUGACGUCACGAUGACGUCAUCUCGUGACGUCAGCACGCGUCGGUCCGCGGACCGGCGCGUGGCGGUUCGCCGGCCGCCGGCGCGCACGUGCCGGUUCGCCACCGGCGCGUGUGGCGCACGCGCUGGCGAAGCCAGCGCUUCCAGGCGCGUCGCGCCCACGCGCAGCGGCUUCUGGCCGCGCGUGUGGGCGCGUGCGGCGUCGUACGGCGGCGUGCGACCACUCUUCGGACUCGUCUCGACGUCGCCUUUCUCCCAGUGCCUUCAUAAUUUGAUUUCGACUUACGAAAACUCAGAAAAAAGGGCGAAAAGCGCUCGGGUGUCGGGAUUUUCGCCCGGUUCCGUACGGCCGAAGGGAUUUCGCGAAAAAUCAAUCAAAAACAUCAGAAUUGAUCGGGAAAGACGUGAAACAGGGCUCUGAUACCAAUGUUGGGAAUUACUGAUCCCCGAAAAACCGGAUUCGACACCGAAUCGAACCCCUAAAUCAAUGCGGAAGACGAAGCCCAGGAAAAACACGUAUCACCGAUCGUAAAGCACACCACUGAGUUGAGCGUACCUUGUUAGCCACAGAUUAGACACCGACGCCGUCAGAGGAAGAGAAAUCGAGCCUUGUUCGAUCCGAGGAGGCAAACUCCUUCAAUUGCUUCACUGUUUCACUUUUGGAGAAAACGGGAGAGAGGGAGAGAGCGUUGAGAGAAAAAACACCGUACGUACAAUUUUACCAACGGUUGUUUUUCUCUCUCUCUCCUCCCUUUUAUACCCCCUUCUUUCCACGGGCCGCAUUUCCGUGGGCCGAGCUUUCUGGGCCCAACUUGGGCGGACGGGCCUUAAGCCCAAUACCAAUAAAAGCCUUCACUAUAUACACAAAUUAAUCGAGAGGCUUGUAUCACCAAGGCAUGAAUCUUUUGGUAAUUUUGAAGGUUGAAGUAUUGGCACUAAUCUUUGCGUGGUUGCUUGUUGAUCCAGCCGAUGGAGUAGCUGAAAUUGAUAUCUCUCUGGCUGGUUCAGUCUCCUCCCUGUGCUCAUUGCUUUCUCCUCUGUGACUAUAUUGUAUCACUCUAAAACCUUAGUAUAUUGUAUCAAUCCAACCAAUACAAUACUCCAAAAAGUACUCGAGAGUAUUACCUUUGAUCUAGCUUUUGAUUCAACCAGAGGUGAACCUUCUGGUUUGAUAUCUCUGUGGCUGAAAAUUCCGGCAUCUUGAGUUUUUCUAACCUCGGAUCUUUGUAUUUGCAAGAAAUUCCUGCAUUCCCAGCCUUCUUUGGAUGCUCUGUCUGUUUUGCAGAGACGAUCUCCCAUUCGUCCAACUCACUCUCGGUACAGCCCUUUUUUCCCUUCAGAACACCAUCAAGGGAUUUGUUUGUUGAUGUCAGCCAAUUCUCCUCUAGAGUAGAUCCUUUAUGGAACCUAGAUGCUUGGUCAUGCUGCAAUAACACAUUGCACGGGAUCAAUUGUAAAGAGGGAAUAAGCGAGCCAUUUGCAUUUUUGCAGGGAUAACAAGGAGAGGAAUAGUGAAUCUUUGUUCCCUUGGUGGUCAAUCAUUUAUGGCAGCUUAAACUUUCAAGAAAAGAAAAAACAAAACUAUUUGUCUAACACGGUUAAUUAGUCAUUGCAUUCUGCUAGUCUUUUCUAUCUUGUCCUAAAGUACAAGAUAGGCGCCAUUAACUCAAACCACCCAAGUAAUUUUAAAAAAGCACAAAGUCAAAAAAAUUAAUACUUAGACACGAUGGGUAUAGAAGCUUCUUUUACCUUUGCUAUGGCUAUUGAUUCAUCCAAAGGUAUAUAUACUGAUUUACUAUUUCUGGUUGCCAGAUCUUCCUUUCUAAGCUUUUCAAGAAGCUCCGUAUGUUUUGUGGAGGAGACAUGUAAGCUGUCAAACUUAUUCUUGUCGAAGCCUUUCUUUUUGUGCAGAGGAGCAACUCCAUUGAGAGGUUCAACUGUUCCAAUUCGCACAUUAUCCACUAGCGCAACAUGUUCAUUAUGCAACUGCAACAAGACAUUGCAUGAAUGAGAUCAACUGUAUCAGAAGAAAUAACUGAGGUGUAGUGCACGCUCAAUCUCCUGACCCAUGGGAGCUUUCAUUUUAGAAGUGUGUGUAGUCUGCUACAUUUUGAGCUUUUCACUUCUCUGUGAUGACCUUCUUUGAUAUAUCAUGCUACUUUGGUUUAUGUUACAGGGAAGCGACAGAAAAUGAAGGAACAAACAACAUGCUUCUCUUACCUUUGCUUUGGUGGCCGAGUCAUCCAAUAAUGCACAAUUUGGUUUGAUAUUUUUGGCUGCAAGUUCUUGCUUUUUGACCUCUAAAAACCUCAUCUUUUCACCUUUGCUAUAAAUUCUUACAGUUGCAGGCUCUUCCAGAGGAUCCAUACGUUUUGGGGGAAAGACAUUUGAGCAGUUGGACUCAUUCCUAUCAAAGCUUUUCUUUUCCUCUGGAGGAACUUCUCGACAUCCAUGGGGUAGUUCAAUUGCUAGUGUUUGCCCAGUCUCCUCCAUAGCAUUUUUGUUCUGUGAGCUAGAUGUUUGGCCAUGGAGAGUUUCAAUUGUUGGUGUCUGCCAAUUCUCCACCUUAGCAUGAGCAUUACGUGAGCUGGAUGUUUGGCCAUACUGCAACCAACAUAUUGCUUGAGAUCAAUUGAACCAGAGGAGCCAACUCAGGCAUGAUCCUGGUCUUAUGACAAACAUUAGUGGUUUCAUUUCUAAAAUUGUCUGGAAGCUAUAUUACAUUAUGAUUUUCCGCUUCUUUCCACGGUCUUGUUUGUUAUUUCAGGGCAUUAACAAGCAAAUCCCAAUAAGCACGUUUUGCAAAAUUAACCAGUGGAGGAACCAUGGAAAUCUUUGUGCAGUCAGUGAUUGUUCCUCUCAAGUUAGGCAUUGAAUUUGGUUUCUCUAUGGCAAGUUCAAUUCCUUUGUUGUGAUUGUUCUGGGGUGAUUUUGAUGCAGCAUGGUGCUCUCUGCUUUCUCCUAUCUCCCAAUGUUUGUAAACAUUCUAUCUAUAUGCUUAUACAGAAACAAAUAAUUAAAUCAACUGGAGACUCUUGAAACUCGGAAUUGUCCUACUCUUUUCUUUUGAAUUUCGCUGACAAUAUGAAAACCUUGCCAUUAACUUUACCAGCAAACUCAACGCAAAAAAUCCUAAAUUGAAAUUAAUAAUUAGACAUUACGAGUGAAUUUAGAAGCUUGUUUCACCUUUGCUUUGGCUUCUAAUUCAUCCAGAGUAACACAUUCUGGUUUGAUAUUUCUGGCAGCAAGUUCCAGCUUCUCCACCUUUUCGACCCUCGAUUCUUCAUCAGUGCUGUAAGUUCUUGCAAUUUCAGGCUUUUUUGGAGGCUCCAUAUGCUUCGGGGAGGAGAUAUGUAACCCAUUGAACUUAUGUUCAAUGAACCCUUUCUUUUCAUCUAGUGAAACUACACCAUGGAGUGAUUUGAUCAUUUUUGCUCGCUGACUCUUCCUCAGAACAGCAUGUUCAUCAUCUGGGCUACAUUUUGGGCCAUACUGCAAUGCGGGAGAUGAAACACAUCGAAGGAAAAUGAAUGGCUGAGGCAUAAUCUUAAACAGUAAAGCUCAUGACGAACAUCCAAUUUUUCAUUUAAAAUGUGUCUGGAAGCUGUAUUAUAUGUUGAUAUGUUCCGCUUCACUUACCUGAUGUGAUAUUAUUUAAUCUGGCAAUAUUUUUCUUUGGCAGUUUUUUUGCCAUUCUGGUACAUAUCCAAUUGAAGGCUAAUAGGGCAUGAGGAAUUUCCCCAAAAUCUCUCUUUUCUAUGUACGUAUUUCUUCCCUAAAUAUAAUAAAGGUGAACAAGCUAUAUAACCAACCGAAACUUUAGGAGUAGAAUUUUGACCUGUGUUUGAAUUUGAUCUCUGUCAAUGUAGCCGACUUGCAACUGGUUGGAUUCAUCAUCCCAUGGGAGGUUCGCAAAAGAUGGACUUCCGAAAUUUCUAACAUGUAAGUCGGUUUGGGAGUCAAUUUCUGAUUGGAAAGAAGUCUGCGGGAGAAUUGAUGUAAUGACUUGAACUUGGUUGUCCCGCUGAAGUGAGGGCUCCGUUGCUGAGUCUACCAGAAUCCAUGACUGUUUUGAAAAGUAAAUAGGUUAAUUAUGGACAUACUUCACAAAUCAUAUCCAUGAACAAAACAUUUUUUUUUGUUCUCACUUCUGGACAUGAGUUCUCAUGUUCAGUUGACGGUCUGACUGCAAGUCAACCAAGCUAAUUGAUGGGUUUUCCACUGCCUGAUCCAAGGUGUUUUCAAAAGUAAAAAAGGCUAGUUAUGGACAUGCUUCACAAAUUAUACCAUGAACAGAACAUUUUUUCAUUCUCACUUCCAGAAAUAAGUUCUCAUGUUCAGGUUGAUGAAGAUUUGAAUCCAAGUCGGCCAAGCUAAUUGAUGAGUUUCCAACUGCCUCACUCCACGGCUGUUUUCAAAACAAAGAAGAUUAGUAUGGAACAUGCUUCACAAAUUAUGCUCAUGAACAGAACAUCUUUUCGUUCUCACUUCUGGAAAUGAGUUAUUUUGUUCAGGUUGAUGAAGGCCUGAAUCCAAGUCCAUCAAGCUAAUGCCUCCACCA